CCUACGGGAGGCAGCAGUGGGGAAUAUUGGACAAUGGGCGCAAGCCUGAUCCAGCAAUGCCGCGUGAGUGAUGAAGGCCUUAGGGUUGUAAAGCUCUUUUACCCGGGAUGAUAAUGACAGUACCGGGAGAAUAAGCUCCGGCUAACUCCGUGCCAGCAGCCGCGGUAAUACGGAGGGAGCUAGCGUUAUUCGGAAUUACUGGGCGUAAAGCGCACGUAGGCGGCUUUGUAAGUUAGAGGUGAAAGCCUGGAGCUCAACUCCAGAAUUGCCUUUAAGACUGCAUCGCUUGAAUCCAGGAGAGGUGAGUGGAAUUCCGAGUGUAGAGGUGAAAUUCGUAGAUAUUCGGAAGAACACCAGUGGCGAAGGCGGCUCACUGGACUGGUAUUGACGCUGAGGUGCGAAAGCGUGGGGAGCAAACAGGAUUAGAUACCCGUGGUAGUCCACGCCGUAAACGAUGAUAACUAGCUGUCGGGGCUCUUAGAGCUUCGGUGGCGCAGCUAACGCAUUAAGUUAUCCGCCNGGGGAGUACGGCCGCAAGGUUAAACCUUAAGGAAUUGNGG
rnacentral:rRNA from 1 species